rnacentral:rRNA from 1 species
AUUGAACGCUGGCGGCAUGCCUUACACAUGCAAGUCGAACGGCAGCGGGGGAGAAGCUUGCUUUUCCUGCCGGCGAGUGGCGAACGGGUGAGUAAUACAUCGGAACGUGCCCUGCAGUGGGGAUAACUAGUCGAAAGAUUAGCUAAUACCGCAUACGACCUGAGGGUGAAAGUGGGGGACCGCAAGGCCUCAUGCUAUAGGAGCGGCCGAUGUCUGAUUAGCUAGUUGGUGGGGUAAAGGCCUACCAAGGCGACGAUCAGUAGCUGGUCUGAGAGGACGAUCAGCCACACUGGGACUGAGACACGGCCCAGACUCCUACGGGAGGCAGCAGUGGGGAAUUUUGGACAAUGGGCGAAAGCCUGAUCCAGCAAUGCCGCGUGUGUGAAGAAGGCCUUCGGGUUGUAAAGCACUUUUGUCCGGAAAGAAAUGGCUCUGGUUAAUACCUGGGGUCGAUGACGGUACCGGAAGAAUAAGGACCGGCUAACUACGUGCCAGCCGCCGCAGUAA